rnacentral:rRNA from 1 species
AUUGAACGCUGGCGGCAGGCCUAACACAUGCAAGUCGAACGGAGUGGCGGACGGGUGAGUAAUGUCUGGGAAACUGCCUGAUGGAGGGGGAUAACUACUGGAAACGGGCGCUAAUACCGCAUACUAUCAGAUGAGCCUAGGUGGGAUUGGCUAGUUGGUGGGGUAAAGGCCUACCAGGGCGACGAUCCGUAACUGGUCUGAGAGGUUGAUCAUCCACACUGGAACUGAGACACGGUCCAGACUCCUACGGGAGGCAGCAGUGGGGAAUAUUGGACAAUGAGCGAAAGCCUGAUCCAGCCAUGCCGCGUGUGUGAAGAAGGUCUUCGGAUUUUAAGGCACUUUAAGUGGGGAGUCGUUACCUACAGAAUAAGCACCGGCUAACUUCGUGCCAGCAGCCGCGGUAAUAC